rnacentral:lncRNA from 1 species
UAUGCACUCUGACCUAGUGCACGUUACAUGAAAAACCAACUUUUCUAACAGGAUGCGGAGGUCGAAAUGCAAAAAGGCUAUGGAGGUCGCAGAGGCCGAAUCCAAGGAAUUGUAUGGCUAUUAUUUUGCCAUUUUCAUGGCCUCGAUCAUGGCUUACGAAGCACUACCCUCAAAGUGCACAAAGAAAUGGAAGAAAAGAAAAGGCGUUAUGAGCAAACAAAGGCAAUAAAUUAAUCAUACUUCAACAGAAGAGAUAUACGCCAAGCAGCCAGUAUCAAGAACCAAGUUAUAACUACCCAAACAUUACUACUUCGCAUCAACCUCUGCAUUUCUCUGAUAUAAUCCUAC